rnacentral:siRNA from 1 species
GCUCGUUUCAUAUAUAUGUGGU